CUCUUUCUGUUAUUCAGAUUGAAUAUUGAUUUCUAGGUAAAAAGUGAAACAGGAGUACUUUGAUUUACUUUUCUGUUUAUACAUGUAUCAUUGGUAAGCAGAAGUAUUUACAAUAAAACUGUGCACAGUAACAUUUGCUGAAGGACGGAUUCCAGUUAAGUACAGACAUGUCAGUAUUACAGCCCUGUGUUGCUGGAUUAUCAGCUACUGCUUUCCCUAGUGGAAAUUAAUACCUCUACUCUUCCAGAGGCCUCUCCACUGCCUGAAAAUGCUCUGGAAGAUGAUUAUGAUGAUGCAACAGAGGCCCCUGGACCUAGAGAUGCUUCUCUUUCUGAGCAGAAUGAACAGGAAAUCAUUGGGAUCCCUGGAGAAAGUGACAGAAACAAGGAUUCCCAGACAGACUGGAUUCCCAGAAACAGGACCUCUGAAGCUGAGAGAUCCUCAUCCCCUGCUCUUGAGGAUACGGGCUAUGACGACAUUGAAGAGCUGGGGCACUGAUAGACUGCUGAGCUGCACUGACUUCUUCUGGAAAUACACCACUGUUCAUAAAAUGCUAAUCCUGUACUAGCAGAACCAGACCAACCUGCAUUUAGGACUAGCUUGCAUAAGUUUUGGUUAUUUCACAAGAAGAGAUUAUAUAUGUAAAAUUUAAGGAAGCAUGGUGGUUAAGAACAGCUUUGAAAUUUCUCUUAUAAUUUCUUGUUGUUAAGACUUAGUGGACACUUUUUGAUUUUAUUUUAAAUACCUUCCUUCUUUUUUUUUUUUUUUUUUUUUAAUGAGUUAAUUUUAAAAUUAUGAUUUUUCUUAUUAGAAACUGUCCAAAGAUCUCAAAUUUAUGUUUUUUCUCCCAGAUAUAUGGGGACAGUUUCUGGUAAUUAUUUGGAAUGGAGAUUGAACUGCAAGAAAAUAAUCAAAAUUCUGUUUCAGCCAAGUCUUUUGAGAAAGGAAUUCUUGCUGAUUGCUUCUGCAGCAACAUCAACAAGAUCUGACACGUGUGCUGCAGGCAUGCUAUGAGGCACAGAAGGAGGGAAACACAUACACCCAUGGGAUUUAACUGCAUCAUACAAUCUACUUUUCCUGGCUCACUAACAGGAAAGCUGGGAAAGUAGAAAGUUUUUGCAAGGAAUAGUAAAAGGCAGCAGAAACCAUCAGGAGCAACAAAUGUUGUGCUAAAAAAAGGUGUAGCAAACUAUUUAUCCCUGUCAGAACUAUCUGCACAGGACAGAACUUCUCCUCUCCAGGUGCACCAGGCAGUGACCAGGAAGAAGGAAUCCCUGGAGACUCAGAGAUGGCAACAACUGAUGUCACAGGCAUGAUCCAGUUGAGCUGAGUGCUCUCCAGGUGACUGGGUUAUAUAAUCCUCAGCGUGACUGAGUAAGUGGACUGACAUUGGGAAUGUGUUAAAAUUUGUAGCCAAACUCUUACAGCAUCCUGACUGCACCUGAAUGGCACCUGCACAAGGAAAUGUUUAGGAUAAUUGGAGUAAUUGGAUUAAAAGCAUAUUAACAAUUAACAAGAUUAAUAAAAGAUGUAAAAUGGCUUAACUGUGGGAUCUG
ensembl:lncRNA